rnacentral:tRNA from 1 species
GGAGGGUAUAGUUCAGUGGUAGAGCACGUGCUUAGCAUGCACGAGGUCCUGGGUUCAAUCCCCAGUACCUCCA